rnacentral:rRNA from 1 species
GAUGAACGCUGGCGGCGUGCUUAACACAUGCAAGUCGAACGGAAAGGCUCAUGCUUGCAGGGGUACUCGAGUGGCGAACGGGUGAGUAACACGUGGGUGAUCUGCCCUGCACUUCGGGAUAAGCCUGGGAAACUGGGUCUAAUACCGGAUAGGAGGAUGGUUUGGAUGCCAUUGUGGAAAGUUUUUCGGUGUGGGAUGAGCGAGCGGCCUAUCAGCUUGUUGGUGGGGGAAUGGCCUACCAAGGCGUCGACGGGUAGCCGGCCUGAGAGGGUGUACGGCCACAUUUUCACUGAGAUCCUCCCCCGACUCCUCCUGGAGGCAGCAGUGUGCCUUAUUGCACACUCGGCGCAAGCCUGCUGCAUCCCCUCCGCUUGGGGGAUGACGGCCUUCGGGUUCUCAACUCCUUUCGCUAGGGACGAAGCGCCCGUGACGGUACCUGGAGAACAAGCACCGGCUAACUACGUG